UAGCUCAGUUGGUAGAGCAGUUGACUUUUAAUCAAUUGGUCGCAGGUUCGAAUCCUGCACGACCCACCAAUUUCAGCAUUUAACUCAGAUGCUGAACGUGAAGGAUAACGUUGCGUCAGCAACGGCCCGAAGGGCGAGGCAAAGCCGAGUCAUCCUGCACGACCAACCA
rnacentral:sRNA from 1 species